rnacentral:lncRNA from 1 species
GAGACCGGCAAGCCCUAGAUCCGGCAAGCCCUAGAUCCGUGCUGCCAACACCACCACCACCACCACGGUGCCUCGAGCGACCCCAGGUUUGAUAACUACCCAGAAGCACAUGGAAAAGGCCUCUUGCAGCAGGUAUUCUUGAUUAAGUCAUGAAAAUGAAACUGAAGUUUAUUUUUCUCCUUCAUAUGCUCUGGUCUGUGUGGGUGAGAAAUGGUUCUUCUAUAAAAUGACCACGUGGCACCCAUCCAAUGACACAGAAAAG